rnacentral:lncRNA from 1 species
CUGUGAUUGGUCAAAUACUUGUACUGUAUCUGUAUCCCAUCAGGUCCAUGGGGGGCUGUCCCUGGACCUGGGGACUUGCAUAAAUUGCCAUGCUUGUGUGCCAGUAAAGCCAGUUCGUUUUACCCUCAACUCGCAGCCUCGACUCGUGUUGUAGGGAUCCGGGAAUACUAGCGCUACUACAGCUAGUGGGAUAUUCUACACUUACAGAUUUCUACCGAAUGGAACCUCGUUCGACUCUCUGACUUCGGGAACCAGGACAUCCAAGCGAUCCAACCUCCUGC